rnacentral:rRNA from 1 species
CAGUCGCCGCGGGAAUACGAAGGGUGCAAGCGUUAAUCGGAAUUACUGGGCGUAAAGCGUGCGUAGGCGGUGAGUUAAGUCUGCUGUGAAAUCCCCGGGCUCAACCUGGGAAUGGCAGUGGAUACUGGCUCGCUAGAGUGUGUCAGAGGAUGGUGGAAUUCCCGGUGUAGCGGUGAGAUGCGUAGAGAUCGGGAGGAACAUCAGUGGCGAAGGCGGCCAUCUGGGACAACACUGACGCUGAGGCACGAAAGCGUGGGGAGCAAACAGGAUUAGAUACCCGAGUAGUCCCUGUCUCUUAUAC